rnacentral:rRNA from 1 species
UGGUCGCCAACGAGUGGCGGACGGGUGAGUAACACGUAGGUAACCUGCCCAGAAGCGGGGGACAACAUUUGGAAACAGAUGCUAAUACCGCAUAACAACGUUGUUCGCAUGAACAACGCUUAAAAGAUGGCUUCUCGCUAUCACUUCUGGAUGGACCUGCGGUGCAUUAGCUUGUUGGUGGGGUAAUGGCCUACCAAGGCGAUGAUGCAUAGCCGAGUUGAGAGACUGAUCGGCCACAAUGGGACUGAGACACGGCCCAUACUCCUACGGGAGGCAGCAGUAGGGAAUCUUCCACAAUGGGCGCAAGCCUGAUGGAGCAACACCGCGUGAGUGAAGAAGGGUUUCGGCUCGUAAAGCUCUGUUGUUAAAGAAGAACACGUAUGAGAGUAACUGUUCAUACGUUGACGGUAUUUAACCAGAAAGUCACGGCUAACUACGUGCCAGCAGCCGCGGUAAUACGUAGGUGGCAAGCGUUAUCCGGAUUUAUUGGGCGUAAAGAGAGUGCAGGC